rnacentral:rRNA from 1 species
AAUCCUGGCUCAGGACGAACGCUGGCGGCGUGCCUAACACAUGCAAGUCGAGCGGAGACAGUGAGUAGCUUGCUAUGAGCUGUUUUAGCGGCGGACGGGUGAGUAACGCGUAAGCAACCUUUCCCAGACAGGGGAAUAACACACCGAAAGGUGUACUAAUACCGCAUAAGACCACGGGAUCACAUGGUUCUGGGGUAAAAGAUUUAUCGGUUUGGGGUGGGCUCGCGUCCGAUUAGGUAGUUGGUGAGGUAACGGCCCACCAAG